rnacentral:lncRNA from 1 species
UCACUCACAAGUUCGAAUAAUCUCUCUUUUCCUAUCACCUACACACAACACACACACUUUUGAGGUCUUUCGAGUUGUAGCUUGGCUUGGGUUAGGGUAUGGAUUAUUUAAAAAAGGAAAACAAGUAGCUUUUGGUUCAGAGUCGAUGUUACAUCAUGUGUUUGUUUCUUUUAUUUCCUCGGUUUUCUUUUCUUAUUAUUUUUUUCUUCACCGAAUGCCCUUUUCCGUGCUUCUUUUUGAAUUUUCGAGUUAUCAUUUUUCUCUUUUC